rnacentral:lncRNA from 10 species
UUUGGAAGGAAGAGGCCGGCAGAUCGCUUGAGCUCAGGAGUUCAAGACCAGCCUGACCAACAUGGCGAAACCCCACCUCUACUAAAAAUACAAAAAUUAGCCAGGUGUGGUGGUGUGUGCCUAUAAUCCCAGCUACUCGGGAGGCUGAGGAAGGAGAAUCGCUUGAACCCAGGAGGCAGAGGUUGCAGUGAGCCGAGAUGGUGCCACUGCACUCCAGCUUGGGUGACAGAGCGAGACUCUGUCUCAAAAAAUAAAAAAUAAGCUAGUGGACUUUGAGCAAAGCAGACUGUUCGCCACAAUGUGGGUGGGCCUCACCUGAUCAGUUGAAGUACUGAAUAGAACAAACCUCGCUCUACCCUGAGCAAGAAGAAAUUCUGCCAGCAGACCACUUUUGGACUCAAACUGCAAAUCCUGAAUCUCCAGCUUGCCAGCCUACUCCACCUGAUUUAGCAGAUUUUGGACCCACCAAGCCUCCAUAAUUCUAAGACAAGGCACAGACACAGAGGAGAAGCCGUAUGAAGAUGAAGGAAAUGACUGGAGUUAUGAGCCAAGGAACGCCUGGAACCACCAGAAAUUGGAAGAGGGAAGAAAAAAAUCUCCCCUAGAGAAUCUUGUUCAGAGGGAGCGUAGCCCUGCCAUCACCUUGAUUCCAGACUCUUGUCGUACAGAACUGUUAGAGAAUAAAUUUCUGUUGUUUUAAACCACCAAAUUUGUGGGAAUUUUUACAGGAGCCCCAAAAAACUAAUACAUGUACCUCUCUGCAUAGUUGGUAGAUCAAGCCAACAAAAAGUAAUAAAAACAUACAAAAGAUUUCAAGAGCAUAGUCAAGCAGUUUUUAUCUAAUGAGCAUAUAAGCAAUCCUGCACUCAAUUAUUUGUUAAAAUAUCCCUUAUUUUUCAUUGCACAUGAAUCAUCUAUAUAAAUUUGAGUCAUAUUGUAACAAAAUAAUUUGUCAAUAUUG